rnacentral:rRNA from 1 species
CAACUUCUGAAUGUUGACCUUCGGAUCCAGGUA